GCUCCUGUGGCUUAAUGGUUGGAGCGUCCGCCUCGGAUGCCGGAGGUCAUGGGUUCUAUCCCCGGUUGAGUCA